ACGAAUGAGUACGAUAAAUCAUAGUUACAUUACACUACUUCAGAAAUUCCUAAAAAACCAUAGCUAAUAUUCCAUAGGAAGAGGAUAAUAUUCAUUUCUGAAAUCUUCAAUCAAUUACAGUACUCCAAACUUGCAUCUCAUCUAUUCAGAGAACCAAGAAAUACCUGGAUGCGGAAAUCAAAACAAGAAAUAGAUGAGAGGAUCAGUAGCAAUGGAGUAAACCCAGCCAGCAAUUCAACGAUAAUGAACUCAACUUCUUUAAACCAUUUUCAAACCCCAGAUGGAUCAGAGAUAACUUCAGCGAUUGAAAACCUCAAGAAUUAAAGAAGAACUUCAAUGGAGCAUUGAUUUUAUGAUAUUUUCAAACCCUUUCAAUAUUUUCAGUCGUUUUCAAUUUUCAGUAUUUUUAAUUCUUCCUUUCUCACUUGAGCUUGAAGAAAAGGAUUCCUUUAUAGGCAAGGUACUAGGGCAUCCUAAAGAAAUUAGAUUUUGCAUUUAGACCCUUUUGGAAUUUUGGUUUUUGCUUAGAAAUCCUUAAUGUAAAAUUCAGAACUUCAGUUUAGUCCCUACCCCAGCUUCCUAGAAGUUUCCUCAAUCAGUUAUUCAGAGAUUCCUCUACCUAAAGUUCCUAAAUUACCCUUACCCCCUGUUAUUUACCUUCAGGCAGCCAAACGGGUAUGGGUCAAAUCCUUUUUGGGCUUUUUUGAUUUCAAAAUUCAAAUCGAGCCCUAAUUCAAAAUCCCAAUUUAACGGGCUAAGGGAAAAACCCAGAACUCUUAAGACGAAACCCAAAACCCAAAAGAAAAGAAAAGUGAAUUAAUUAGUUUUAAACAAUAACAAAAUAAACUAUGCUGGUUAUUAAACAACUUAUGCAAGGACAAAAUUGAAGACGAAUGCAUAAUGAAGAAAAAGAGAAGACGAAACAGAAAAAAGAUGAAGAAGGACAGAUAAAAAGAGAAAUACCAGAAAAGAAAUAGAAAAGAUGAAAAAACCUAACCGGGCUGGCCAGACCUUGAAGUCAUUCCUUGAGCCUUCGUUAUUGACCAAAAUGGGUCUUAAUCAUGUGUUCUCAGAUGAAAAUAGAUGAACAAGAUCAAUUUCGGCCUCAAUCUUUACUAAGCUUGCUGAUUUUAGGAUUUUGAAGUUUUAGGUCUCAUAUUUUGUUUCAAGAUUCGAUGAGACUGAGAUGGAUUCGAGAGGAGCCGUGUUAAGAUUUGGAGAGAGAAGGGUGAGAGGGUUCAGGGGUGUGAUUUAGAGGCGGGUAGGGGUGGUGAAAAGUUGCGCCGCCACCGGAGAUGAUGGUGAGUUUUUGGGGCGGC
rnacentral:lncRNA from 1 species